rnacentral:rRNA from 1 species
ACGACGUUGAUAGGCGCUCGGUGUAAGGUCCGCAAGGAUUUUAGCCAAGGCGUACUAAUGACCG